rnacentral:rRNA from 1 species
GGGGAAUAUUGCGCAAUGGGCGGAAGCCUGACGCAGCGACGCCGCGUGAGGGAUGACGGCCUUCGGGUUGUAAACCUCUUUCAGCAGGGACGAAUGUAGACGGUACCUGUAGAAGAAGCACCGGCCAACUACGUGCCAGCAGCCGCGGUAAUACGUAGGGUGCGAGCGUUGUCCGGAAUUAUUGGGCGUAAAGAGCUCGUAGGCGGUCUGUCGCGUCGAAUGUGAAAACCCGGGGCUCAACUCCGGGCUUGCAUUCGAUACGGGCAGGCUAGAGUUCGGUAGGGGAGUCUGGAAUUCCUGGUGUAGCGGUGAAAUGCGCAGAUAUCAGGAGGAACACCGGUGGCGAAGGCGGGACUCUGGGCCGAUACUGACGCUGAGGAGCGAAAGCGUGGGGAGCGAAC